rnacentral:rRNA from 1 species
GACGUAGGGCGCGAGCGUUGUCCGGAUUUAUUGGGCGUAAAGAGCUCGUAGGCGGCUGUCGCGUCGUCCGUGAAAACCUGCGGCUCAACUGCAGGCUGGCGGUCGAUACGGGCAGGCUGGAGUUCGGUAGGGGAGACUGGAAUUCCUGGUGUAGCGGUGAAAUGCGCAGACUAUCAGGAGGAACACCGGUGGCGAAGGCGGGUCUCUGGGCCGAUACUGACGCUGAGGAGCGAAAGCGUGGGGAGCGAACAGG